GUCCCCUUCGUCUAGCGGUUGAGGACACCGCCCUUUCACGGCGGAAACACGGGUUCGAUUCCCGUAGGGGACGCCA
rnacentral:tRNA from 1 species